rnacentral:lncRNA from 1 species
UGAAAGAGUCUGUUUCGGAUCGAUUUGCCUGCUGAUUUCUGUCGAGUGAUUUACUGUGAAAUCAUUUUCCUAAAGCUGCAGAUAAGACGUGUUCAGCGUGCACACUUGAGCAGACACACACCUGCAGGAUAACAUGCAUGAGCGGCUCUUCAUGCUUGCCGAACAUCUCCUCCUCGCACGGUGGUUAGCUCGCAGUAUUUACAUCCAGUGAUUUGCAUUCUGAGGAAAAACAAAACGACUCAUGUUGUUUGAUGAUCGACUUUAAAACACAAAUGUUGUGGUGACGAUAUUUCAGGAUAAAAGUAUAACUAAACAAUAAUGAGGUGUACUGUAUGAGUGGUUAGGGUUUCUGUUUUUACUGUGAUUUAAAGGCAGACAAUAACAUCAUCAACCAAAAUUUCAUUUUCUUCAUGUAAAGUAAAGACAUGUAGUCAAGUACAAAUAUGACUUGACCCUAAAAAAUCCUAACAAAGGUUUCUCAGCUGUUUUUUUAUAGUAUUAGAUGUCCUUAAUAAUAAACUAAAAGGUGACCAAAGUUUGACCUCUGGAAAGGCGUCAUUUUCAAGAUGGCGUCCAUGAUGGUAGGAGACGCCCCAGGUGAAUAGGGUAAAAUAUUUAACAGAUAUCCCCAUGAAACUUCCAGAGUUUAUAACUUACAUUAAGACAAAUAUUUUUUAUAUUACAAGUUUAGUCAAAUGUUAUGUUUGAAUAUGUAAAUGAGGUCAUAUCUGAUUAAAUAGGAGAUAAGGCGAACAGCAGAGACAGUCACUUCUUUUAAGUCAAAUUUAAAAACUCACUUUUACAGACUUGAUUUUAUGAGAUGUCGUCUUUUAUCUUUUUUCCUUUUUAUAUUUGAGUUUUUCGGGGUGGUUUCAGUGUUUUCCCAUUUACAGAGAGAUAAAAACAGAUAUCCAAAGUCAACCCCCCCCAUCUGACUCUAGUAUGUCAACAAAAUAAAACAUGAAUUUUAUUCAUCGUUCAGUUUUCAGUUCUGUAAAUGUAUGUAAAUUAGUGCAUAUUUAAUUCAAUACUACCUCAUUUACAUAUUCAAACCAAUCAUUUGACUAAACUUGUGAGAUAAAAAACAUUUGUUAGACAUUUUUUAGGGUUAGGUGUUUUUUUUAUAAAUGUACCCGCCUAAUGAAACAAAGAAGCUCAUCGAUCUUCAGGGUCUGUUUUCAGACUUCAGUACUGAGGCACCGGUCCUUUCUUUUGUCUUUUUAAUGACUUUAUACUGUUCGCUGUUUGUAAAUAAACAUACAUAAAAGAUCAAACUAUCAACUCAAAUUCAGAGAUAUCUGCCUCUAUCUUUCACGUUAUGAUUCAGAAUGACGGACACUGUCACAGGAAGUCAAAACUGUCAAAUAAAAACGACUCUUUCUGAGUUUUCUGAGAUGUUUUUAAGUGCUGUCCUGGUCCUGUUAGCCUCAUUCAGUCAUUCACGUUCUCAGAGAGUCACUAGAGUCCACAAGGGGUCAGGGUUUUGGGUCUAUGGAGGAAAAUUGAGAUUCAGACACUCUCACAGAAACACCCCCAGUCCGCAGGAAGGAGACAGAGCUGUACGACAGGCUCAGCUGAAACAAACAGGACCCAGAGUCCAAAGACAAAGAUCUGGAGAUCGUCUGGAUCAGUAGACACAGUACAGGUGGGCACAUUUUGGGCUCUGAUCCAGUCUGAAACUAACAAACACUGUAAGACCGUCGAACUCUAAAUAAGAGGAAAAGUUUAAUUCAGCUUCAGUUUUUUCAAACUUACUGUCAAACCUGAAGGUCUUUGGAGCCUCGGACAUUAAAACUGUCCCUGUCCUUCCUCUGUGUGUGAUCCUGCAAACUCAAACCCUCAAACUCUGACACUCACAGCAAAGAUCAGAACCAGAGAUCCUCCUCUCACCUCACUGAAGCGCCCCCUGGCGGUGACAGAUGGGAAAGGUCCUGACAGCAGAAUCUGAGCCUGUCUUACUUUAACCUCAGUGAGUGUUUGGUAUAUUUCAGUAUGAUGUUUUAUUAAUACAGCUCCAUGUAUGAUUCAGCAAAUAUAAAACCUUUCUUUAACUCAAUAACAUCGACAAAAUUAAAUAAAGUCUCUUCCUCUUCCACUCAAACCGACAACUUUCUGCACAAAUUCAUCUUUGUGACCGUUAAAGAGAAGAAGAGACGGCUGGAUGUCAAACUACAGCAGCUCUUAUAGCAGGAAAAAUUAAUAAAAAAAUACUUUAAUUAUUAAGUGAAGAGAAAACACGAGGAUCUUUGAAAGAGGUUUCUGAGAUAAAACAGAGGGACUGUCUGUCAGUGGGUCCACACACCUGAGUUGUGUUUUUUUUAAUGCUCUACUGCCCCCUAGUGCUGAAAAGAUCUCUGGUUUGCAUUUUGUAAAAUUGGAACAUUUUCCAUCUGUGAGGUUAAAACACCAUCCAGUGUUGGUGAAUAUAUGACCCUGUGUUUACAUGACAGGAAGAUGAAAUAUGAGUUUAGGUUGUAAAUGACGGCGAUAAUCCUCUUCACCUCUGACCUCUGUUCACAUCACUCCUGUUUGUUUUGGGAUUAUUUCUUUUCUUUUAAAUUUUUGGAUUUAUUUCAUUUUUAAUUUUUUAAUUUUGUGUCUUUAUUCGAGAGAACAGGAUGGUGGAUGGAGGAGAAAUCGCAGAGACUGGACUCAAACCAUCAGCUUUGGGCGCCCAAACGUUUUUGAAUUUGACAGGCAGAUUUUUAUUAAAGGGAUAUUUCAGUAUUUUUUUAGAUAAGGUUAGUUGAGUUAUAGAUCUGUUUUUUUGCCACAAUCAAUGAUGAUCCCCUUAUAUGUUCGAAUUUCUGUUAGACGACACCGACUCUAUAAUUUAGCUUCAGUUUGCUCACCUGUAUCACCAGGUAACUCAGAAUCCUCCCGCUCUUUAGUUAGUAUAGAGAUUUCUGUGUGUUUUCUUUGAAACUAAGAUGGAGAGAUGGAGAUGCUUUAUUGUCAUUGCACUUGUGCACAACGAGAUUGCAUUUACAGAUGGGGAAAGAAGAGGCAAAUAAAGCUGAUGCUAAAGAGCUAAAAACUGCAGUUCAUCAACUGUCCACUAGAGGCCGAGAGAGACCACGUGUGCUCGGAUUCAAAGGAUUGGAUCGGCGCCGCUCGACUUGACCAAACUUUUCCAUGUCCACUCUCUAGAGGGAGCUGAAGUUGGCCAAUCAGCUGCUCCUGGAUUUGCCCUAAAACUUACUUUAGCAUUAGCUCCGCCCCCUAACCCUUGGAUCAGCUGACCUUUCAAAAAGAUCAGCUGUUACUGCUGCAUGUUGUUUUUUUUUCAUUAGUCAAAGUUAAAAAGAUGUUUGGUGUCUAGUACUAUGUCUGUGACCCUAUAUGUCCUGUUGAUGAAGUUAGGUGCUGUUCUGAGCAUUAUUUGUGGCUAUAGAGUGGCGUUUUGGUUGGGGGCGUGUCUCUCUGUAUUACUAUCCUGCGGUCGUUACUAAAGUUGGUAUAACUAGAGAAGCAAGCAGUUGGCAACAUUCAUCUCUGGAGGCGGGGUCUAACUCGGUGUUACGGUGAGUUUGACCCUAACUUAAUUUUACAUCAGAAUAUCCCUUUAAGGGUCAACUUUAGUGAUCAUGUUUUGUACAAUAAUUAUUUGAUAAAGACCUUUUUUACGUCUCCAAAUCUCAGAUUUAAAAGGAACAGUCCACAUAAAUAAUGAAUGUCUGUUCAGGUGUGAACAGCACUUUACUGUAUUGUGUAAUUUAAUCUUUGGUCAAACAACAAUAUCUACUGUAAAACCACCUCGCUGUAUUUUAUUGGUGUUUAGAUGAAGUUGGUGGAGAAACUGCAGAGACAGACCAAAAUCAGCUUUGACUUCAUUUAAAGGAGAAAACAGGAUCAUUCAGACGUUAGUUAAUCAUUUAUAACAGCCCAGUGAACAUAAACUCUUACUCUUCAGCUCUGUGUUUAAGUGAAGUUUGUAUAAUCUGUUCUCUUUUGUUUGUACCUGAGUCUACAGACAGUCUAUUUGUUAUAGAUGAGGACGAUGAAAUCACAGACACUUCAGAGAAAUACCACUUUGUCAUAUAAACUGUGUUUAAAAGGUUUAUUUUAAUAACUGACUUUCUGUGAAGUUUUAAGAAGCUUUUUCUUAAAUAUUUCAUUUUUUUAUUUUGUGUUAUAUUUACAUUAAACCUGUCAAAUCUGAGGAUGAUGAAACCACCAUGACUGCAGGGAAAUACGACAUUAUAUAAAGUCUGUAACUCCUCCCUCAGAGACUCUGACACCCUCAGUCAGUAAUCUUUACCUGGACUUUGCUCACUGUUUACAUGCAUACUACUUUAUUAUUUUGUGUUGUAUAUAAUGUACAUUCUUGUAUUUUAUCUCUUUAUUUUGACUUAUUUUACUUAUAUGUUGAGCUUCUCCACCGCUACACCCUCGCUUGCUCGGUGCCUCAGGUCAGCUGAUCAGCUGCUCCUGGAGGUACCGAGGUCCAAACUGAAGCUCAGAGGGAUCAGAUCUUUUUCUGUAUGGAACGAGUGACCCCUCCAAAUCAGACCAGCCCCCC